UCCGAGUUGACCCCGGCAGUCUCCUAUGAGUCCCCACCAUAACGUGCUGGCAACAUAGGACGAGGGUUGCGCUCGUUGCGGGACUUAACCCAACAUCUCACGACACGAGCUGACGACAGCCAUGCACCACCUGUAUAGGACCCUUACGGACCCCCCAUCUCUGGAGGAUUUCCCUAUAUGUCAAACCCAGGUAAGGUGGGGAUGACGUUAGGAUAG
rnacentral:misc_RNA from 1 species